rnacentral:rRNA from 1 species
CCUACGGGAGGCAGCAGUAGGGAAUCUUCCACAAUGGACGAAAGUCUGAUGGAGCAACGCCGCGUGAGUGAAGAAGGAUUUCGGUUCGUAAAACUCUGUUGCAAGGGAAGAACAAGUAGCGUAGUAACUGGCGCUACCUUGACGGUACCUUGUUAGAAAGCCACGGCUAACUACGUGCCAGCAGCCGCGGUAAUACGUAGGUGGCAAGCGUUGUCCGGAAUUAUUGGGCGUAAAGCGCGCGCAGGUGGUUCCUUAAGUCUGAUGUGAAAGCCCCCGGCUCAACCGGGGAGGGUCAUUGGAAACUGGGGAACUUGAGUGCAGAAGAGGAUAGUGGAAUUCCAAGUGUAGCGGUGAAAUGCGUAGAGAUUUGGAGGAACACCAGUGGCGAAGGCGACUGUCUGGUCUGUAACUGACACUGAGGCGCGAAAGCGUGGGGAGCAAACAGGAUUAGAUACCCUGGUAGUCCACGCCGUAAACGAUGAGUGCUAAGUGUUGGGGGGUUUCCGCCCCUCAGUGCUGCAGCUAACGCAUUAAGCACUCCGCCUGGGGAGUACGGUCGCAAGACUGAAACUCAAAUGAAUUGACGGGG